GAUGAAGAACGUAGCGAAAUGCGAUAAGUAAUGUGAAUUGCAGAAUUCAGUGAAUCAUCGAAUCUUUGAACGCACAUUGCGCCCGCCAGUAUUCUGGCGGGCAUGCCUGUUCGAGCGUCAUUUCAACCAUCAAGCCCCCGGCUUGUGUUGGGGACCUGCGGCUGCCGCAGGCCCUUAAAAGCAGUGGCGGGCUCGCUGUCACACCGAGCGUAGUAGCAUACAUCUCGCUCUGGGCGUGCUGCGGGUUCCGGCCGUUAAACCACCUUCAUAACCCAAGGUUGACCUCGGAUCAGGUAGGAAGACCCGCUGAACUUAAGCAUAUCAAUAAGCGGAGG
rnacentral:misc_RNA from 1 species